rnacentral:tRNA from 1 species
GGAGGGUACAGCUCAGUGAUAAGAGUGUAUGCCUAGCAUGCACGAGGUCCUGGGUUCAAUCCCCAAACCCUCCA